AAAUAUACUCUAGAGCUAGUCUCAGGGCAGAAAUACAGUGGCUUUUGUAUUGUGGUUUAAAGAUCUUUAAUAAGUACUUUAACCCUCAUGUUGUGUUCCGGUCAAAUCUGACUGAUUUAAAAGUGUUAUCUCUGAAAAAUGUACUUAAUUUGAUCAGACUGACCUAAGAGUCCAUGACUUUGUCCACAAAGAGGAUUUCAACACACAAAAUAAAUAGUAUUUAUUUACAUACAAUUUUGUGUAUUUUAUUCAACUUUUGUACACUCUUGGUGUUCCCGGUCAAAAAUGACCAGUCAUUAGAAAUGAAUGGGGGAGACUACAUUUAGUGUAAAAAACUGAUCUCAGGUACAUCCUCAUUUGUCAUAUGGACACACACACACAUGCCAACACACACACACACACGCACGCACGCACGCACGCACACACACACACACACCUUGGGUCCCAGGCAACCACCAUGGGAACCUUAGCCCAGCAGAGUCUCUCUCCCGCGGGAACAUCACCUGUUCUCAUAAAGUUGCAGCAUUGUUUCAAUAAUAUUGGACUUUUCUCGCAGCUUUGGCAGCCUAUAUGAAUGCUUUUUUGAGGCCUUGCUCACAGUUCAUUGUGUGGCAGCACCAUGGCAUGUCGAUAUACCAUAAGUGAGGAUAUUGAUUAUAUAUGUGAUCACCACACUGGUGAGGAGGAGAGACGCCAGGAAACUGACAGUGAGGACACUCUUGUGUCCUACUGUCCAAAGAAAAGGGAAAAUAUGCUCCUGAUGACGACUCUGCACAUGCCGCUGUGAUCACCAGGGAGGACAAGAAACCCAAUGCCAUCCCGGAUUACAACAGGAACAAAGGCAGAGUUGACAACCUUGAUAAGGUGACUGGCACAUACUCUUGUCAGAGGAAGACAGCUCGUUGGCCCAUGGUGGUGUUUUUCAACAUGUUAGAUGUGUCUAUAUAUUCCAUGCAUUUGUGCUGUGGAUGGAGGUGAAUCCAAGAUGGAAGCAGGGGAAAAACAUCUGAUAGAGUGAUGAAUAUUGUAAUGUUAUUGUUCUUGUUAGUUGUUCUUUAAUGUAUUAAGACAUUGAUCUUGUAAUAUUGUGAAACUGUUUUGGGAUAAUUUCCUCUGUACACAAAUAAAAUAUUCCGGUCACUUUUGACCAGGAACACGACUAGUGUUACUUUAUGUGACUAUAUAAAAAAAUGAAAUGGUUUCAAAACAAAUGUCCUUGGUAAAUUUGACCCAAAGUAGUCUGUGAUAAACAAUAUACUAUGUUUCAUCUGAUUAUAUUUUAUAGUCAAAAUAAUCCAGAAAUUAUGCUUUUUAGAACUCGAAUUCAAGAUGUAUACGGUCAGAUCAGUGAGGUAUACAGGCCAUAAAUAACAAAUAGAAGUUAAAAACUUGUAAUGUUCACAAGAACUGAAGUUGAUAAAAAAGAUCUAACACAACAAAUAGUGAUAAUUAUGUAUUUUUACAGUUUUUAUGAUGAGUUUAAAUGGAACGGUCAUUUUUGACCGGGAACACAAAAUUGUUUAACAUGAAACGAACACAACAUGAGGGUUAAUGUUUCACAAUAACAACUGUGUCUUUGUUUUUUAUUUGGCAGAUAAGACAAAGGCUUUAAAACGAAAAGCCGACAAUGUCACAGAAGACCCUGCAGACAACUUGGACAGUAAACCAGAAAAGGUGUCAUGUCCCCACUGCACAUCUGAGCUAAGUUCCCAAAAAAAUCUAAAAAGACAUAUCAGAGAUGUACAUUGCUUGGACAUUGCCCCCAUGAUUUGCAUUGAAAUGGGAUUUAUGUCACACCAAAGUAUGACCAUAGCCCUGUUUUGCCGGUGCAUGUAAUCAAGUCCACUAACCCACCAAAAAUUGACUGUGAGGUUCCAAAUUGCAGGAAAUUCAUGCAAAUUGCAUGGUCCUCAGGAAAUCCUGGAAAGGAAUGCAAACACUUGGAGAGAACAAAGAAUGCCAAGUCAUAUGCAAAGCCAGCAGUCCUCACAUCUGCCUCCCUCAAGGACAUGUUGAGUAAGGGAUUGAUGUCCUCAGAAUGGGGUGUCAGAUGCGAAAACCUCAACCUGGAUUCAAACAAACUUGGAUUGGACAGUGUUUUUCCAGUUAUUUUUGAAGAUGAGGGAUACUCCAAACGGUGGGUUUUCUUCUCAGUCUUCACAUCGCAGACAGACAACUGGUGUCAGUUCGGAAGGACUAUAGUCACGUUUGACACAGUUGCGGGACAAUGGAACUGUCAGUGUCGGGGGACUGGGACUUCACACCGGUGUAUCCACCGCAUGAUGGCCAUGUGGUGGAUUUUUCAAGAGUCCCCAGGCACUUUAAUGGAAACAUUGGACAUUCAGACACAAGAUAUUGAUGACCUGGAAAGUCACAUUGUUGAAACCAGCAUCAGCUGUGAACAACAACCUGUGAACAGUCAGAAAAUCUGCAUUAUGACAGACUACCUCAUGACACACAAGCGCAUCCCAUUCCUACAGGAUUUGCCUGUGGAGCUGAGGACUAAGGAGCAGCAACCACCACCACCGUGUUUUGUCCCCACAGAAAACACUUGUCCGUACUGUCCUGGUCCCACCCCUCCAGCUCUGAAUCCCUCCAACACAGUAACCACGCAAGCUGUGGUGUAUGGGAUUAAUUAUGUCCAGAAAGGUGUCUCUGUAGCUGUAAAACAGUGCCCAGCAUGCACUAACGUUGUGAGGUUCCUGGUUUUCACAACUUCAAUAACCGCAUCCUCUUGACAUCGCCAUUGUGUGAGCUUUUGCUUUCUGGUUUGGCGGUAAGGAAAUCAUAAAAACAUUUAGGCCAAAAAAUUUCAGCCAGCAUUUAUGUCAGCGAGUAAUUGAUAACAGAUAUCAUAUUUGUAUGUUGAUUCAUUACAGAACAAGACAACCAGUGGACGUAUGCUGGACACUAUGUCAUUAUUAAAUGACAACCGAUACCAUCACCAAACAGUGAGAAAAGCAUUUCAUCACUUUUUAUCGCUCACUAAUUUCAAGUUUCAGUUUUCCUGCUACCAGUGUGGGCACCAUCCAGCUGUGGUCGUGGCUGACGCCAACUGGAAACUGGCCUUUGAUAUCCCACUUGGCACAUUUAAAAGGCCAGAUCCAGAGACUGUUUCUGAGGAAGACUUUGAAGUGGAUAUAGUGAAGGCAUGGUCAGACUUGGACAAGUCACUGAUAGCAGAAGGACUCAUAUCAGGAACAUCUGUGGCUAACCCAUACCACAACUCUGUUGGACACUCCACUGUGGCACCGUGGAUGGGACAGCACACCAGAGUGGGAAAGACUCUACCCAAAACAGAGUUCAGAAAGGCCAUGAAAAAAAACCCCGAUGCUGAAACCAAGCAUCCCACCACACCAGUGACAUAAUGGGUCUCUUUUUUGUCUUUUCAACUUAUAGCCUCAAAAAAAAAGAACUACAAGAUGCUUGUAAUGCCUUGGGUGUGUCAGCAGAGGGGACCAUUGCAGAUCUGAUUAUCAGGCUUGAGGAACUGCUGAACUUCAAAGACAUAUACCCCAAGCUAUUUUGGAAACUACAGAAAGCUGGUGGUGGUGUCCUUCAUUUUUCAUGUAUGCACGGAGUUGUAUACUACCUAAAUUUCCUAUUCUGGACGGAGUCAGCCAGGGACCACGCUGAUGGGCUGCUGAGUUUUAAACAGUUCCCCACAUGCUACAUUUCAGAUGUGGCUGGACAAGUUGCUCGGCAUACAAACAACCGGACAAGACAACUGUAUUUCAAGCAACAUGAUGGAAGACUGUGUGCUCCAACAACAUCAAGCUGGCUGUCAAUAAGGAAUUGCAGAUUGACAUGAAGUGGGUUAAGAACCUGAGGUUCCCACUCCCACUACAGGGAAGUCUCGAUGGUGACAGAAUGGCAGCAACACAUCCUAUCACAGGCACAACAGAGAGAUAUUCACUCUAUGACAGAUUCCACCAGAAAAACCAGAAACGUCCAGAAGAGAGGCUUAGAAGUCUGAAUAUCUGCCCCAGCCUCCGAACAGAAAUCAACUCAUCAGUUGCAGAGCAGUUCAAUCGCGAACCUGCAUCUGUUAGAUAUUCAUUGUGCCAAAUGAAAGAGGCACACUUCAAACAAACACUACGGGUUUUGAUAGAUCUCCACAAUGAGAAAAUCAACCUAACUUUCAAAUCAGAAAUGGAGGCCUUAUGCAAUACCCAGUUGUCUAUUGGCCUUCAUGGAAUGCUGGGUCUGCAGUCUGCUGGGAAGGAAGAUCAUAAGCCGACUGUAGCUGGCACUGUGAGAUCAUCAUUUCAAGCAGAACUAUAUGCCAUCGAUGAUAAUGACAAGGGAAAACUCGAGGACUUGUUCUCUGGAUGCCGCAAAGAAACUCAAAUCAUUACUCAUGUGUCAAGGCGAUUUCCUGUGACCAUAAAGGACAUUCGCAGUUUUUGCCCACCGGAAUUGUUGGCACAAUCUUCCAUGGUCAUGCCAUGGUUGACGGAUGAUGUAAGUGCAGAUAAAUCUGGUGUUUGAAGUUAGUUUGUACAUGAACUGUAAUUAGUUACUGCAGUGUUUCUAAAGUAUAGAUGUGUACCUUAUACCAAUUAGCACAUAUUGAAUGUUGUAUUUUAACAAGUAUAUUGAAUUACAGGCAGUUAACUAUCGAGUUGCUCAGCUGGCCCAAGAACACACGGUAAUAGAUUUAAUGUUCUUCCAUUUUUGAUUGCUUUUGUUGCCUUAUCAACGUUUGCUGGUAUUAACACAUACAUUUUAUGUUAUAGAGUGAUUCUUUGGGUACUUAUGACUUCAUUUUGUGGCACCGGGAAUGGACCACGAGUGGAAGUGUGAGUGAGCAGGUUGUCAAACGCAUCCCAGUGUCAGACAAGCUAUUCCUCCCCAGGAUUGUUGGUCACUUGUCUCCAGAGACGGGCAACCAUUUUAUUCUUUGGGUAUUUGACUUCAAACUGAGACAGAUCAGAGUUUAUGAUUCACUCAUGCUUCAAUGUCAGAUCAGUCAUGGUGACAUGGACCUCCUCGGAAAUGUCUUUAGAUUAUCUGGUGGCCUUGAAGGUUGGACUGUGACAUUUCCUUCACAGUGGAAGCAGCAAGACACUGUUAACUGUGGAGUCUUUGUGUGUUCUACAGCUGAAAAUGAGGUCCUAAACCGUGAGGUCACUGCAGAGGCUCUCACUCUUAAUCAAUGUAGGACUCUUCGUCUGCACCAUGCUGCUCAAAUUCUGAAGACUGUCAACGCAGAGGACUUCCCAAGAACUGCUGAGGAGCUUCUCAAAAUGGAGAAGAAGGAAAUAAAACUUCAGGAAGCUGAAGCAAAAAAACCGAACUCCAACAGCCAUUGCCUGGCCUGGAAACUAAGGUCCUGUUUGUUCCAGCGGGCAACUGGGACAACCAGUGUUUUCCAUGAAAAAAUAAAGAUGUACCCAUGGGUACAAUGCACAGCAUGCAAAAACUGGCUGCAUUUCCAGUGUGCUGGUGUGGAGGGGGACUGGACGUCUAAGGAUUUUUUUGUGGAUGCAACAGCACCCCUGAAUUAGAUGACAUUCUGGAGUCUGUUAAAGCAGAAGACAUUCUGACAGAUGGAGAAAUAAAGGAUUUGGAAAGAAACCUCCAGAGUGGGAACAUUCUGUCCAACAGAAUGUAUCUGUGGGAACACAGAGGACUAGAUCCUGCCCUCCGGAAACACUACAGUGAACAUUUCACUUUAUUCAAUGACAUGAAGACAGAUGACAUUAUCCAGAGACUAGACAAAGUCCUGUCAGUACCCGGCACCGUUGCUGAGAAGCAGCUCUUCCUCACAGACGUAAUUUUGCCUGAGGUUUUGAUUCAGUGGCUGCAAAAAAGUCACAGCAUGUCCCGAUACCAAGCUGAAUCUGUGCUUCUGAAGAGCACAUCUUGAAGGAUGACAAAAGGUAAAGGACAGUGUACAGGUGUAGGUGUACAUGCUAAAUCUCUAAAUCCAUUCUGCCAGUCAUGGAUCACAGUAUUUUUGUAGGUUAAGUUGACGUCACUGUAAUGACGGCACCAGUGCAUUUACAGAUCAUAUUUUUUACAGGCCUGGAGAGAUCACAGAAGGUGACUCAGAAAGCAUGAAUGAGGUAAGACCUUUUCUAUCCCAAACACCCACAGCUAAAGACCCAUUAAAUGCUCCUGCAAUUUUAUUAUUGAAGUGGCUUUAGUUGCACGAGUCAAUAAAAGCAAAGCUGAGCAUAUAUGAUCUCAUCCACUCCACAAUUUUUUUCUGUUGCUGAAAGUAACAUUGCUUCAUACUGUGAAAUGCUUUACACAACUAUAACCUAUUAUUUUGCAGCACAGCCUAUUUGACUUGCAGAAAGGUGACACCUUGUGGUGGAA